GUUUAUAUAGUGUGGCAAAGGUUUCACUGCGCAGGGUAACCUCAAGAUCCACCAGCGCAUCCACACAGGGGAGAAACCGUACCAGUGCUCCCAGUGUCAGAAAAGCUUCUCUCGGCUGGCCCACUAUAAAGACCACCAGCAGACUCACCGGGAGGAGAAACCGUAUCACUGCAAUGACUGUGGGAAAAGCUUCUCCUACUUCAAGUCACUCAAGUGCCACCAGAUGAUACACAAAGGGGAGAACCUCCACCACUGCUCCGUAUGUGGUAAAGGGUUCGCCAUCCGCGGCAACCUGAAGACCCAUCUGCAGACACACACCAAGGAGAAACCACACCAAUGCUCAGAGUGCGGGAAACGGUUCUCCCGAGCCCACGACCUGAAAAAACACAAGCUGCUCCACACGGGGCAGAAGACCUACCACAUUUGCCAGUGU